rnacentral:rRNA from 1 species
CACGCCGUAAACGAUGAGUACUAGGUGUGGGUGGAGUCAAAUCCAUCUGUGCCGUAGCAAACGCGUUAAGUACUCCGCCUGGGAAGUACGGCCGCAAGGCUAAAACUCAAAGGAAUUGACGGGGGCCCGCACAAGCAGCGGAGCGUGUGGUUUAAUUCGAUGCAACACGAAGAACCUUACCCGGGUUUGACAUGUACGUAGUAGUGAAGCGAAAGCGGAACGACCCUUCGGGGAGCGUGCACAGGUGC